UGUAGAGCGGAGCUGUUCCUAUUCGGACAUCUUGACUCCUCCCAAUAUUUAUUCUUUCUAUCCAGGUGAAAAUUCUAACAAGGAGCAAACAGCAAAGAACUGAAAUGCUAUACAGACUCCAGUGAGAAAAAACUGAGGUAAUUGGUUUCGGUGUGCUGGUGCUUGAAACUCUAUCCCAGUGCUUCCUUCAACUAAGGCUGCAAAUUGAAAAUGUGAAGAACCUUGCCUGCUUGAACCAGCCUGGGCUUGUGGCAGCAUCAUUCUGUCACUUAAUUCUUCUCACAGAGAUCACAUAGCUUUGCUUCCAUACCUAAAUUACUACAAAUUUGUGUCCGCUUGAAUGUUAUGUAAUUUAACCAGAAAUUGAAGAAAUACCACCAUUUUAAAGAAAAUAUGGUCAUAAACACUAUGGAAUACUAUGCAACCAUAACAAGAAUGAAAUCAUGUCCUUUGCAGCAACAUGGAUGUAGCUGGAGGCCAUUAUCCUGGGCAAAUUUGCAGGAGCAGAAAACCAGAUACCACAUCUCACAUGUAAGUGGGAGCUAAGCAUUUGGUAUACAUGGAUAUAAAGAUGGGAAAAAUAGACACUUGGUGACUAUUAGAGAGAGGAAAGAGGGAGAAGGGAGAAGCUAAAAACUACCUGUUGGGUAUUAUGCUCACUACUUGGGUGAUGGGAUCGUUUGUACCCCAAGCCUCAGCAUCACACGGUAUACCCAUGUAACAAACCUGCACACGGAUCCCCUGAAUCUAAAAUAAAAGUUGAAAUUAUUGUUUAAAAAAAAGGAUCUAAUAAACAUAGUAUUACAAUGUUGAUGCAUCCCUUAUUUUUAUUUAUUUAUUUAUUUUUGAGAUGCAACCUCCACCUCCUGGGUUCAAGCGAUUCUCCUGCCUCAGCCUCCUGAGUAGCAGGGAUUACAGGUGCAUGCCACCAUGCCCAGCUAAUUUUUUAUAUCUUUAGUAGAGACGGGGUUUCACCAUGUUGGCCAGGCUGGUCUCAAACUCCUGACUUUGUGAUCCACCUGCUUCGGCCUCCCAAAGUGCUGGGAUUUCAGGCGUGAGCCACCGCGCCC
rnacentral:lncRNA from 1 species